rnacentral:lncRNA from 1 species
CUUUCUCUCACUUUGGCACCUCCUUAUUUACUCCUACACCUAUCUACUAAUACACCCCCCCUAAGACUCUUAACUAAAGACUAAAAGAUGCUUUAACAAUAGAGGUUUCUAAUGUUUCCCUCUAAGCACCUUUCUAAACAAUAUUUAUUUAAAACUUGGCCUUGCCCUUCAUGGGAUGGUUUUUGGGCUUUUGUGGGCUUUGGCCUUCUUGGGCUUGGGCUUGGGCUUGGGCUUGGGCUUUAUCUUUUGCAAAGAUUAACAAGAAAAACUUUAAAUGUGAAGGCGAAUGAUCUUGUUCUUCAUUAUAAAAAGCCACCUUUAGUUGAUUCUCAUCA